AUUGAACGCUGGCGGCAUGCUUUACACAUGCAAGUCGAACGGCAGCGCGGGCUUCGGCCUGGCGGCGAGUGGCGAACGGGUGAGUAAUAUAUCGGAACGUACCCAAGAGUGGGGGAUAACGUAGCGAAAGUUACGCUAAUACCGCAUACGAUCUAAGGAUGAAAGCAGGGGAUCGCAAGACCUUGUGCUCCUGGAGCGGCCGAUAUCUGAUUAGCUAGUUGGUGAGGUAAAGGCUCACCAAGGCAACGAUCAGUAGCUGGUCUGAGAGGACGACCAGCCACCCUGGAACUGAGACACGGUCCAGACUCCUACGGAGGCAGCAGUGGGAAUUUUGGACAAUGGGGGCAACCCUGAUCCAGCAAUGCCGCGUGAGUGAAGAAGGCCUCCGGGUUGUAAAGCUCUUUUGUCAGGGAAGAAAAGGCUGUGGCUAAUAUCCACAGCUGCUGACGGUACCUGAAGAAUAAGCACCGGCUAACUACGUGCCAGCAGCCG
rnacentral:rRNA from 1 species